rfam:Picea glauca, whole genome shotgun sequence.
AAUGAUGGCUACAACAUAGCGUUAAUGCAUUGGAUCCCAUUAGAAAUUUGCAGUUAAGUGUGCUCGUGGUAAAUUAUUACUGGGAUAGGUGACCACUCGAGAAGUUCUAGUGUUUUGUGUG